UACGUAGGGGGCAAGCGUUGUCCGGAAUCAUUGGGCGUAAAGCGCGCGUAGGCGGCCCGAUAAGUCCGCUGUAAAAGUCCGGGGCUCAACUCCGGAUUUGCGGUGGGUACGGGCAGACUAGAGUGAUGUAGGGGAGACUGGAAUUCCUGGUGUAGCGGUGAAAUGCGCAGAUAUCAGGAGGAACACCGAUGGCGAAGGCAGCUCGCUGGGACGGUAUUGACGCUGAGACGCGAAAGCGUGGGGAGGCAAACAGG
rnacentral:rRNA from 1 species